UCCUGUAGGUAACAACCCUGCCUGUAAUAUGGCAGUGAUUUUGAGUCGAUUCCUGCCAUUAUUGGAGGGUCUGAAAGUCGCACCUUUGUAUAACCCCAAGGGGCAGUCCAAGGGGCAGGACUUCCCAGGGUCCGUAGAAGGAAUGCGCAAGGGUCAGGUGGCCACCAGAGACCUGCUGCCGGUGGCCAAGGGUAUCAUCCCGGGCCGAGGUUCCAGGCUGGGACGCGGAGACCCACGGCCCUCCUUGGGAUCCCUGGCAUCCUGGAGGAAAGGAGGCGGAGUUUUCAAGCUGAGAGGCCGUGAGCGCCUAGAAUUGGGUGACCGCAGGGAAAGUCCUUCCUGAGGGACAAAGGCCGCCCGCGCCGCCAGAGCAGAAGGACUCCAAAGGUGUCACCAGACUGGCAGUGAGAUCCAUGGCAUUGAAAGAAAAAGGAUUAAGAACCUCUUUACCUCCUUCCAUCAGGUGUAAAAUAAAUAGAUGUGGUAUCAGGGC